rnacentral:rRNA from 1 species
UACGUAGGGACGGAGCGUUGUCCGGAUUUAUUGGGCGUAAAGAGCUCGUAGGCGGCUUGGCAAGUCGGGUGUGAAACCUCCAGCUCAACCUGGAGACGCCACUCGAUACUGCCAUGGCUAGAGUCCGGUAGGGGACCACGGAAUUCUGGGUGUAGCGGUGAAAUGCGCAGAUAUCAGGAGGAACACCGGUGGCGAAGGCGGUGGUCUGGGCCGGCACUGACGCUGAGGAGCGAAAGCGUGGGUAGCAAACAGG